rnacentral:rRNA from 1 species
AAACUAACAAGGAUUCCCCUAGUAACGGCGAGUGAACCGGGAUGAGCUCAAAUUUGUAAUCUGGCGUGCUCCGCGCGUCCGAGUUGUAAUCUAUAGAAGCGUUUUCCGUGCCGGACCGUGUCCAAGUCCCUUGGAACAGGGUAUCAAAGAGGGUGACAAUCCCGUACUUGACACGACGACCGGUGCUCUGUGAUACGUUUUCUACGAGUCGAGUUGUUUGGGAAUGCAGCUCAAAACGGGUGGUAAAUUCCAUCUAAGGCUAAAUAUUGGCGAGAGACCGAUAGCGAACAAGUACCGUGAGGGAAAGAUGAAAAGCACUUUGGAAAGAGAGUUAAACAGUACGUGAAAUUGUUGAAAGGGAAACGAUUGAAGUCAGUCGUGUCCAAGGGAUUCAGCCGGUUCUUCCGGUCUACUUCUCUUGGACGGGUCAACAUCAGUUUUGGCCGGUGGAUAAAGGCUGGAGGAAUGUGGCACCCUCGGGGUGUGUUAUAGCCUCCUGUCACAUACAUCGGCCGAGACUGAGGAAUGCAGCUCGCCUCACGGCCGGGGUUCGCCCACGUACGAGCUUAGGAUGUUGACAUAAUGGCUUUAAACGACCCGUCUUGAAACAC